rnacentral:rRNA from 1 species
CACGUAGGGGGCAAGCGUUGUCCGGAAUCAUUGGGCGUAAAGCGCGCGUAGGCGGCCAGAAAAGUCCGGUGUGAAAGUCAAAGGCUCAACCUUUGAAUGCCGCUGGAAACUCUCUGGCUAGAGUCCGGAAGGGGCGAGUGGAACUCCUGGUGUAGCGGUGAAAUGCGCAGAUAUCAGGAAGAACACCUAUGGCGAAGGCAGCUCGCUGGGACGGUACUGACGCUGAGGCGCGAAAGCGUGGGGAGCAAACAGG